ensembl:lncRNA
AGAGAGAGAGAGAGAGAGAGAGAGAGAGAGAGAGAGAGAGAGAGAGAGAGAGAGAGAGAGAUUCGUUUUCUGACAGAUUUUUGUUCUGGCCGACAUUUCCACAUCUCUCUCUCCCUUUGUGGAUGUGUGGUGAAAGGCUGCCUUUACUUGUGUUGUGUUUGACAGAAUGUUGAUUCUACGGUAAACAGUAGGCAGCUCUCUCCCUGUGAAGAUACUGUUCCUCAGACUGCCACUCGGGCCUGUCAGAGCUGACACACGCAGUCUCACACCUCACAUGCUCAGAAGAGUUGAAGUGGGUUACUUGAAUACUUGCGUGCACUCACACACACACACACACACACACACAUAUAGACAUUGUGCAUACUCAAAUAUGCAUUUAUGCACUUCACACACAUCCAUUGCCAGUGGAUUAUAUACUUGGAGCACACUCUCAUAUGUUGCACCUACAGAUAAUCCUUGUCCAUACACACCGACUCCCAGCCAGCCCACUGCUGGUCUUUAUUUGGCCGAGGGUUACCGCUCAUUCCCUGACCUCGCCACCGUGGCAACAGCUGGUGCGAACAGAAACCUCUUCCCUAUUUUGCGUGCGCCGGUGGAUCGUGUAACUGCCACUUUAUCACCCCUGGAGGCCACCUGAAGGACGCGGAGUCCGAGCGCACAUUAACAAAGCAAAUGUUUUCCCUCACCCAGCACCUGUGGGGAGGAGAGGUGAGGAGCACCCAGCACCAGUGGAGGUGAAGAGCACCAGUGGGGAGGAGGUGAAGAGCACCAGAGGAGAGGAGGUGAAGAGCACCAGAGGAGAGGAGGUGAAGAGCAGGAGCAGCCAGCACCAGUGGGGAGGAGGUGAAGAGCACCCAGAGGAGGUGAAGAGCAGGGGGCCGAGGACGGCUCCAUCCACAGCACUGGCCUACGAGGCCCCCUCCCUACACUUCUUAAAGCUAGUUUACAUUUGUUAGCUGAUAUUCUUUUGGAAGUGAAGUUCCACUGUUACCUGCCUGCAUUCAUUUCUUUACGACGUGCAGAACCCAUGACGGACACCAUA